UACGUAGGGUGCGAGCGUUAAUCGGAAUCACUGGGCGUAAAGCGCACGCAGGUGGCUUUGUCAGUCGAUUGUGAAAGCCCUGGGCUUAACCUGGGAAUUGCAGUCGAUACUACUCAGCUAGAGUAUGGGAGAGGGUAGUGGAAUUCCCGGUGUAGCGGUGAAAUGCGUAGAUAUCGGGAGGAACAUCAGUGGCGAAGGCGGCUACCUGGCCCAAUACUGACACUCAGGUGCGAAAGCGUGGGGAGCAAACAGG
rnacentral:rRNA from 1 species